UUUGAUCCUGGCUCAGAACGAACGCUAGCGGGAUGCCUCAAACAUGCAAGUCGUACGCGAAAGUCACUUCGGUGGCGAGUAGAGUGGCGCACGGGUGCGUAACACGUAGCUAACGUACCCCUUCGCUGGGGAUAACUCCGGGAAACCGGAGCUAAUACCGAAUGAGCUGAUUAUAUCUGCGGAUUAAAUCGGCAAAGCCGUAAGGCGCGAAGGGAUCGGGCUGCGGCCUAUUAGUUUGUUGGUGGGGUAAUGGCCUACCAAGACUACGAUAGGUAGCUGGUCUGAGAGGAUGAUCAGCCACACUGGAACUGAGACACGGUCCAGACUCCCACGGGAGGCAGCAGUUGGGAAUCUUGGACAAUGGGCGAAAGCCUGAUCCAGCAAUCCCGCGUGAGCGAUGAAGGCUUUCGGGUCGUAAAGCUCUUUCAGCAGGGAAGAAUAACUGACGGUACCUGCAGAAGAAGCACCGGCUAACUCCGUGCCAGCAGCCGCGGUAAUA
rnacentral:rRNA from 1 species